rnacentral:lncRNA from 1 species
CCUCUUUUCACAGAGAGAGUCGAUCAUUAAAAGCAUGGGUUUCAGAACUCACUGGUUCACCCUGAGCAAGUUGCCUAACCUCCCUGAGCUCCUCUUGUCCCCUUUUGGCCCUCUUCCCUUUUACAAAAGCUCGAUUUCCUUUGUUUCUUUCUUCAAUUCUUUUUUUCCAGCUCCUUUCGCCCCGCCCCUGUCUCUCCAUCUCCUGUUCCCCUUCCCGUUUGAAAAAAACUCCCUACUUCCUAUUAUCUAUUGUUAUCCUAUUAUCUAUUAUAAUAUCCUAUUAUCUAUCUCUAGUGAGCUGUUAUUCCUGUGCAUAAGAUUUCAGUCCCUCCUUCAAGCUGUCCUGGCCUCCUGCCCCCACACCCCCUUCUUCUCCUUUGCAUCCUUUUGCACCCGCUUCCUUCCUGCAGCUCCUGACCGGCCCCACCAGGGCAGGUCUCCUCUGCAAAGCCGCUCAAGCCGCGCAAGCCCACAAGGAGGUAUCCCCGCUGCAACUCACCGUGCAUCCAAAGUUGGCAUGUUCUUCCUCACGCCGUUCAUUAUCUCUCUGCAUGUGGUGUCAUUUAGCCCAGCCAGGCUUUCCUUGCUGAUUUCUAACAGACCUACAUCCCGGCCCAGUAAUGCAAAUGCUAAAUUUUAAAAUAAUGUAAGUGUAUACCAAAGAAUAACAAUGAAAAGAAAAAUGUGCCUUUUUUAAAGGUCCGGCAGCAGGCUGGGUUUUUCUUGCAGCUUGCUUUGUAUUUUCUAGAUGUUCCAGUUAAUGAAGAGAAUAUCGUUCCAGCACAGCUUUGUCAGUAAAAUUGUCAGAAAUGGAAAUAACAGGAGAGGUGGAGGUUUGGUUCUGGAACAAUGGGGAGAGGAUCCUAGAUAUAAGUCAUGAGAGUCUAAUUAAUGUCAGGUCAACUGGCUGGAAAUUGCUAUUGCACACCUGGGACUAUUGAUCUUCAAAACAGAGGAAGGUUGGGGUUAGGUUAAUGCUAUGGUUGGAAUGUUUGUCCCCCAAAACUCAUGUGUUAGAAACUAAAUCUCCAAAGUCAUUUGUCAAUGGUAUUUGGAGAUAUCUUUAUGAGGUGAUUAGGUGAUCUGGGCCAAAUCAUGCAUUAAUGGGUAAAGGGGUUCUCUCGAGAGUGGGUCUGAUACAAAGGGCAGCUUGGCUCUAUCUCUUGAAUGUGGUCCUUUCUCCAUAUGAUCCUGUGUGUCACUUUGGGACUCUACCAGUAAGAAGGACCUCAUCAGAGGCAGCCUCCAG